CUACAGGGGCGACCUGAGAUCACAUGUGGCCAUCCUCAGAUAAUAAUCCCUUAUCUAGACUUUUUAUUGGUUGUGUUUUUCAUGUGUUCCCAUGUCGUCGCUGCCGGG
rnacentral:sRNA from 1 species